AGUGAACGCUGGCGGUAGGCUUAACACAUGCAAGUCGAACGGCAGCACAGUAAUAGCUUGCUCUUACGGGUGGCGAGGGGCGGGUGGGGGGGGAAGACAUCGGAACCUACUUUUGCGCGGGGGAUGACGAAGGGAGACAUACGCUAAUACCGCAUACGACCUACGGGUGAAAGCAAGGAAUCUUCUAAGCGCUCUCGAUGGGAUUAGCCGCCGUCGGGUUAGCUAGUGGGUGGGGUACAGGCCCACGAAGGCGACGUUCCGUGGCUGGUCUGAGAGGAUGGUCAGCCACACUGGGACUGAGACACGGUACAGACUCCUACGGGCGGGAGCAGUGGGGAAUAUUGGACAAUGGGCGCAAGACUGAUGCAGACAUACCGCGUGGGUGAAGAAGGCCUUCGGGUUGUAAAGCCAUUUUGUUGGGAAAGAAAAGCAGCAGGUUAAUACCCCGCUGUUAUGACGGUACCAAAAGAAUAAGCACCGGCUAACUUCGUG
rnacentral:rRNA from 1 species